GUGGGUCCAGGAGGGCUCUGGGGGCUCUGGGCAAGGGGUGUGUCUGGCCCCUGGGUCUAGCCCAAAGAGGAGGCUCAGUUGAACUGUGAGAGGCGCCCAGGCUACAGAGAACUGGUGUUCACCCAGCUCAGCUCUGCAGAGAGGGGGUUGGUUAGGAAGCUGCCAGUCAUUGACAGGCUGCAGGAGAGGCCAGGCCAGAGCCUCAGGGAUUCUUCUGCCAGGGGGUUGGGGGACAUGGGCAUGGGCUACAGGGGCAUGGGCAUGGGGUAGGAAGGAGGCUGUGGGUUCUAAGAAGGGAGGCUUUAGGGGAAUUCUAGCAGAGAAUUUAGAAUGGAAAGGGACCGAAAAUGUCACAAAGGACCCAAGAGAAGGAACUUAGCCAAGGGCACACAGGUAAGUGGCACAGACUAGGCUAGAGAACCAAGCCUGAGCCUCUGAGGCUGGGGGCUCAUUCUACCACCCUGGCUCAGGCCUAAAGUGGAGACCCUUCCCCAAAGUGGAGACCCUUUCCCGGGUCAUGCCUGGGCACUCUCCUACUCUGAGUUGGACGGGUCAGGGCACACUCAUCAUGGCGAGCCCCAAAAUCCAGCCAUGCCACCGGCCAGUGCCCAGCCCCUUUCAUCUUCCCUCCCCCACCCCAAUAUCUGUGCUCCAGCCUCACUUCCUCUAGAAAGCCUGCCAGGACUAACCCCAGUACGCAUUCAAAGAUGCCAAAGGGACCUUAGAGACCAGCCGUUCUUCCUCAGGAUGUGGAUAGUGUUCUUUCUCAUAGAAGGGGAUCACUUUAAUAUCAAAUAUAACCAAGAAGCAAAUUAAAGAGGUUAAACGUCCUCCUGGCAAUCUGGUGGAGACCAUUAAAGUCACAGAGCAAGUCCUUCCCCCACCACAUGCACACGGUGCCAAGGGAAACUCCCUGCCAACUCCCACAGAACCCUCCUCUAUUCCAAAUGCAUGUUGUCAGAAUGACAAUUAACCUGCCUUUGGAUGUCGCGGAUGAUGGUGUUGAUCAGUUUGUAUCAUUUCCCCAAAGGAAAAAAAUUGCUACUCUGUGACUGUCGGGUCUAGAUAUUUUCUUUUUUGAAACCUUUACCUUCUUAGUAUCAAUUCUAAGAUAGAAGAGUAGCAAGGGCUAGGCAAUUGGGGUUAGUUGACUUGCCCAGGGUCACACUUAGGAAGUAUCUGGGGCUAGAUUUGAACCUGUCUCUAAGUAUGGCACUCUGUCCACUGAGCCCUCUAGCUGCCCCUCUCCAUCUAGAUUUUCACUGUGAGCAUCUGAAUUUCCCAGUGCCAUUUUCAGGCUAAACCUAGACCUUAGAGAGCAUGUUUUCUGUAUUUCUCACUUAUGCCUAUAUCAUGUUUUAUUGAUAUGUGUUCACAUAUUAUGGAAUCUUAGAGAGCUCAUCUAGUCCAGAUAUUCUGGGAUGCCAGAACCAGGUGUAAGAAGGCCAGAGCUCAUCCAGUCCAUUUUAAAGCUAAGGAAACUGAGGCUCAUAGAAAGGAUAUUAGAUUGGAUCCAUUAGAUUGUAAGCUCCAUGAAGGCAGAAUCUGUCUUAUUUUUCUAUUCCCAGCCCUUAGCACAGUGCUUGGCACAUAGCAUUUAAAAGCUUUUUCGUGACUAUUAUGUCCACACGUAUUAAGUUUCAAACAUAGUCUGCCAGACAUUUCACUAAUUCAACAAUGGGUAUGGAGUCAGCGGAGUGAGGUGUGUGGAUUCUGGCUUACCAUUUGCUAUCCUUGUGACCUUGGAGAAGUCAUCUCCUUUCUCAGGGUCUGCGAUUCUAUACCUGCAAAAUGUGGGACUUUCUACGAUUCCUUCCACCCUCAGAGUCCAUGGGCUCUAUGAAGGGCCCUCACGAGCAGAAAUCUUGUGAACUCUGUGUGGAACUGAUGGUCCUUAGCUUGCAAUCCAAUUUAAUCUAAGAAACAUUUAUUGAGUAACUUAUGAUCAGGGGCCUAUGUGGAACCCAGAGAAAAAAAUGACACAAUCCCUGCUCUGGAGAAGCUUACAUUUUACUGAGGAGAGGGGAGAAUACAACAUUUAUGCCCCCCCCCCAAAGGAUCCAAAAUAGGAAAUAAGAGCCGAGGAGACAAUGGGGCAGAUUUUCGGUGGGGAGGGGAAGAACAAAGGGGGCAGAAUCUGAAGACGUUUCCAUCUUUGGUGGUGAUGGUGGUUGCUGGGGGUGGAGAUCCAAAUAAGGUUGGGGGAGGCCUCGUGGAUGUGACAUUUGAGUUGUGCUUUAAGAGAAAAUUUUCAACAGGUAGAAAGGAGGGAGGAAUAGCCUGAGCGACUAUAAGGAGGCAAGAGAGAGCAGGAUGGGAUCAAGGAACAAGUAGCAAUCCAGUCUGAAUGGAAUGUAGUAUGUGAAGGGACUUGCUAUGGACUAAGUCUGAAUAGGUAAAUGGGAGUCACAUCAGAAGGGCCUUGAAGGACAGACACACUGAGAAGCUUCAUUUCCUGAGGACAGUGGAGAGCCACCCAAAGGUUUUGAGCAUCAGAGUGAUGGUCAGAACAGUCUAUUAGGAAGAUUAAUUCCUCUGUUAUGGUAAAGGUCGUUUGAGGAUUAUAAUACAAAUUACAAAUGUCAUUCUUUUAGAGACUAAAUAAACUUGCAGAUUUUGUGCUCUACCUGAAUAGG
rnacentral:lncRNA from 1 species